CGCGUAGGCGGACCUGCCAGUCAGGGGUGAAAUCCCGGGGCUCAACCUCGGAAUUGCCUUUGAUACUGUGGGUCUUGAGGACGGGAGAGGGUCGUGGAAUUCCCAGUGUAGAGGUGAAAUUCGUAGAUAUUGGGAAGAACACCGGUGGCGAAGGCGGCGACCUGGACCGUAUCUGACGCUGAGGCGCGAAAGCGUGGGGAGCAAACA
rnacentral:rRNA from 1 species